CGCUGCCACCGGAAAGAAGGUAAGUUAGGUAUAUAUAUAUAUAUCAUUUGUAUCAUGUUUUAAAACAAAUUUAUUUGAAAAAUGAAAAAUAAGAAAUGGUUAUAAUUCUACAUAAUCUCUUUGUAAUUCCAUAAUAAUCGCUAAGACAUAAGCAAUUGUAACAAAGUCUAUAAAACAAUUAUGACAUUACAAUAAUUUAUGAUUGAUAAUCAGAAUUUAAUUAUUUAGGUGUAUGA
rnacentral:misc_RNA from 1 species